rnacentral:tRNA from 1 species
GGGAAUGUAGCUUAAUGGUAGAGUGCUUGCCUAGCAUGCAUGAAGCCCUGGGUUUGAUUCCUCAGUAUCA